UAUUUCAUGAAGGUUGUCUUGUA
rnacentral:miRNA from 1 species